CUUUCCUGUCUCUAACUUACCAUGUGGUGGAAGUUCCUGUUUGGUUUGACUAUAAGUACUAAAUGUCUAGGAUACACACUACAAAAAAUCUUCCUAUUCACAGUUGUGGAGUAUGAUAAUUCGUGCUUCGUGCUCUUCCAAUCUUCCCAAUGAAGUUCCUGGUAUUCCUUGUGUUGAUUUGUGCCUCUACUAUCCUGGUAUUUUGUUUUCCCUCUGGAAGGAAAUCAGUUGAUGAAAGCAACUAUGUGGCUGAAGAACAACUCAUUAGGACUGUGAAAGGCAAAGGAUCUUCUCAGGAACCAGAAGACUCACAAGAAAGUUCUAUGAACAGUGGUGGCAAUGUGUUUGAUCGUGCUGAGAUGGUACUCCGGGGGAUCAUAGAUUGUUAUAACCUUAUAUCCAGAAGAAGAGGACUCAAUUUGUAAACCUCCUUACUUUUUAUUCAUUUGUAGGUGUCAUGAUUAUCCUCUGGAAUUUUAUAAGGUAGAUUCAUAAUUUCUUAUAUGAUAUGCCAAGGAUUCUGGGAACUUGCCUGUCUUAAUAAAAUGAGAUAUUUUUGGAUCUUCUUCUAUUCAGACUUCUCCAACUAUCUUCAAUUUUGUUUUGUCUGACUACUUACCCUGAUGGUUGUAUCCUUCAUCUAUAACUUUCAUCUUCUUUGCAAUAAAUGAGUUAUUACCAAUAAA